rnacentral:rRNA from 1 species
GACGAACGCUGGCGGCGUGCUUAACACAUGCAAGUCGAACGGUGAAGCGCCUUCCUUUUUGGUGGGUGUGGAUGAGUGGCGAACGGGUGAGUAACACGUGAGUAACCUGCCCCCUUCUUCUGGAUAACCGCAUGAAAGUGUGGCUAAUACGGGAUAUUCUGGGUCUGUCGCAUGAUGGGUCUGGGAAAGAUAUUGUUUCGGUGGGGGAUGGGCUCGCGGCCUAUCAGCUUGUUGGUGGGGUGAUGGCCUACCAAGGCGGUGACGGGUAGCCGGCCUGAGAGGGUGGACGGUCACACUGGGACUGAGACACGGCCCAGACUCCUACGGGAGGCAGCAGUGGGGAAUAGUGCACAAUGGGCGCAAGUCUGAUGCAGCGACGCCGCGUGAGGGAUGGAGGCCUGCGGGUUGUGAACCUCUUUCGCCAGUGAAGCAGGCCUGCCUCGUUUGUGGGUGGGUUGACGGUAGCUGGAUAAGAAGCGCCGGCUAACUACGUG